rnacentral:lncRNA from 1 species
AUGCUAUUUGCUGAUGACAUAGUCUUGAUAGACGAGAGGAGGGUCGGUGUUAAUGAGAGGUUAGAGGUAUGGAGACAGACUCAUGAGUCUAAGGGUUUCAAAAUAAGCAAAUCUAAGACAGAAUACCUGGAGUGCAAGUUUAGUGCCGAGCCGAGCGAAGUAGGCAGGGACGUGAUGAUUGUUUCAAAAUAAGCAAAUCGAAGAUAGAAUACCUAGAGUGCAAGUUUAGCGCCAAGCCGAGCGAAGUAGGCAGGGACGUGAUGAUUAGAUCGCAGGUCAUCGCCAAGAGGGACAGUGUCAGAUAUCUUGGAUCGGUGAUUCAGGGGGACGAGGAGAUUGACGGGGACGUCACUCAUCGUAUAGGAUCGGGGUGGUCAAAAUGGAGGCUUGCAUCAGGAGUCCUGUGUGACAAGAAAGUUCCACUGAAACUCAAGGGGAAAUUU